rfam:Clostridium botulinum D str. 1873 CLG.Contig180, whole genome shotgun sequence.
CCCUUGGACUGUUAUACAAACCAAAGUAGCCUCGGCAAAAUGGAACAGGUGGAACAGGGAA